AAGAGUCAUUCUUGAGAAGAGAAAGAAACUUCAAACCUGAUCACUGGAAACCUUUAAUCUAAAAGCUCUGAUUCUCAAAGACAAGUUGCUGAACGUUCAUAAAAUGCAAAACAAAUAGGGAAUCUCUAAAAAUAGAAUAAUUCUAGAAACUGACAUCAGAAAUGUGAAUUGAAAUCAUUACUCUACAAAAGAAAGACUGACACCUUUCCACCUCUUGCCUCACUUAUGGGGUGUCACACACGUGUGCUUAGGAGGUAGUCAACAAACCUUGAGAACAACAGAAGAUAAACAAUAAAAACAUUCACUCGCCGACAACACUUCCGGUAUCAGAAAAUGGCUCCAUACAGACCACUACAUCUAUGAUGAUGUUACCUUCGGCUCAACAGGCUGACAUCACAUCCGGUCCAUCCUCGAUAAUGUCACUUCCGGUCCACCCUUGAUGACACCACUUUCUGGCUCAUCAUGAUGAUGUCACUUCUGUUCCACCCUUGAUGACGUCACUUUCGGCCCAUCGUGAUGACAUCACUUCUGGUCCUUCAAUGAUGAUGUCUCCUAUGGCUCCUCAAGAUGACGUCACUUCCGUUAAUGCCACUUCCGUCUUUUUCAUCAUUUCCUGCAGCCAUUUUGUAUAAAAACGAUCAUUCAUCUCCUGUAAUUUGUCAACUGUUUGUUUUAUUUCACCCAAUAUUGACCCAAUUUUGCUGCUAUUACAUAAAGAAAUUCCCCAACUCUUUUUUGCAGUUUCUGCAUGCUUUAUUCUGCAUGCUUUAUUACAGGUGUCGGUCCACUUGGACCCGCCUCUUCCUCUCAGAAUGCCUGAAAUCCAUAAGAGCUGCCAUCUUCGGGAGUUAUCCUAAGGAAAAUGUCCGAGAAAGACUCGUUUUCCAUUUUUACAUGUGUUUAUUUUUCUGUUUGAGCUCUUUCAAUUAUAUGGGUUUGGCCGAAACGUG